rnacentral:rRNA from 1 species
UACGGAGGGUGCGAGCGUUGUCCGGAAUUACUGGGUGUAAAGGGUGCGUAGGCGGGCAUGUGCGUCGGAGGUUAAAUACAACGGCUUAACCGUUGAACUGCCUUCGAAACGGCAUGUCUUGAAUGUGGGAGAGGAUGAUGGAAUUCCUGGUGUAGCGGUGAAAUGCGUAGAUAUCAGGAGGAACACCGGUGGCGAAGGCGGUCAUCUGGCCCACUAUUGACGCUGAGGCACGAAAGCGUGGGGAGCAAACAGG